CUACGGGGGGCAGCAGUUAGGAAUAAUCUACAAUGCGCGCAAGCGUGAUAGUUUGAGCCAGAGUGUUUUUCAAUGAAAAGCUUUUGCCAAAUGUAAAAAGUUUGGCGAAUAAGGACUGGGUAAGACGAGUGCCAGCCGCCGCGGUAAUACUCGCGGUCCAAGUCGCAGCCAUUUUUAUUGGGUCUAAAACAUCCGUAGCUUGUUUGAUAAGUUUCUUGUGAAAUUUUAUAUCUCAAAUAUAAAGCGUGCAGGAAAUACUAUCAGGCUAGAGACUGGAAGACGUAAGAAGUACGACAAAGGUAGCGGUUAAAUGUUUUAAUCUUUGUUGGACUCACAAUAGCGAAGGCAUCUUACGAGGACAGUUCUGACAGUAAGGGAUGAAGGCUAGGGGCGCAAAACGGAUUAGAUACCCCCGUAGUC
rnacentral:rRNA from 1 species